rnacentral:rRNA from 1 species
GUUUCAUUUAAAUUUAAAUUAAAACUUUAUUUUUUAGUUAAAAAGCUAAAAUUUUAUUAAAAGACGAGAAGACCCUAUAAAUCUUUAUAUUUAUUUUUAUUUUAAUUUUUUUGGAUAAAUUUUAUUAUAAUAAGAUAAAAUAUUUUAUUGGGGUGAUAUUAAAAUUUAAUUAACUUUUAAUUAUUAUAAUUACAUUAAUUUAUGAAUUAUUGAUCCAUUAAUAAUGAUUAAAAAAUUAAGUUACUUUAGGGAUAACAGCGUAAUUUUUUUGGAGAGUUCUUAUCGAUAAAAAAGUUUGCGACCUCGAUGUUGGAUUAAGAGAUAGUUUUAAUGCAGAAGUUAAAAUAUAAAGUCUGUUCGACUUUUAAAUUCUUACAUGAUCUGAGUUCAAACCGGUGUAGCCAGGUUGGUUUCUAUCUUUAAUUUUAUAUAAUAUUUUAGUACGAAAGGAAUUUAUAUUAAAAAUAAUUUUUAAUUUAUGAAU